ensembl:lncRNA
AUGGAUCCCUGCUGGACCUGGGGGGCGAUGGCCUUACUCUGCCUCCUCAUGCCGGGGGGGCACCCCAAUCCUUGCCGGGUGUCCAUCUACCCCGAGGAACCGACGGUGGAGUUCGGCAGCUCUCUCCUCCUCAAUUGCACCAGUUCUUGCCGUAACUACAGCCGGCUGAACUGGGAGGUCUCCAUCACCAAGAUGGGGACGCAGGGACCCGGCUGGGUGUCCCUCAGCAUCCCCAACGUCACCAGCUGGAGCUUGGAGCUCCAGUGCUUCGGCAUUUUCGGGCAGGAGCGGAAUAUCGCCGAGACCACCCUCCACGCUUACCGUAAGGACCGAGGCAUGGGGGGGGACGGGGACAGGGGUCCCGGCAUGCUCCCAGUCACCUCCACCCCCUUCUUGUCCUUCCCCACAGGGUUCUCGCCCCCCCAAAUUUACCUGGAGGGUGACACGGUGGCCGGCAAAGAGGCGCGUGUCACCUGCAACGCGUCCGCCCAGGUCUCCCCCCACGACCCCCCAAAUCUCCACCUGACGCUGUGGGGUGGGGGGCUCCCCCCCAGCACCCGCCGAGGUCCCUCCGUGGGGUUGAGUUUCACGGCGCAGCUGGAGCAGCACGGCCAGGAGGUGAUGUGCGAGGCCGUGUUGCGGCUCGGGCGCCGUACGGUCAACGCCAGCGCCGCGGUUACGCUGUGGGUCUGGGGUGAGUUUGGGGACAGGGAUAUGGGGUGGGGGCGGCGUAAAAACCCCUCGUGGUUGGAAACGCCGGUGCCGUGGUGUGAACCCUGGGUGCCCUGUGGUCAGGGUGGUCUCUGGCAUCAGGGUGGGGAGGAGAAGGGGCACCCAGCCGGGCUCUGGGUGCCGAUUCCCUGCCACCCCCCCCUUCCAGCUGCCCCCCACGAUGUCCAGGUGUGGGCACCGCAGACCGCCUUCAUCACCGGUGACAACCUCACGGUGACGUGCCGGGCAGAGGGGAACCCCCCGCCGCAGCUCCGCUGGGAGAUGCCCACCAACACCAGCUGGGAGCUGUGGGACGGCGGCACCACCAUCACCAUCCCGGCUGCCCAACGGGUUCACGACGGCACCUACCGCUGCCUGGCCGAGAACCGCUACGGCACCGGCGCUGCCAGCAUCGACCUCGUCUUCCGAGGUGAGGGGUGCCUGCGGUGGCACCUGGUGGCACCCAGUCCCGCACCGGGGCCGGGUGCCGCGGUGAGGGGUUGGCACAGCACAGGCGUAAGCGAUGAAGAAGGGGAUGGAGGUGGCAUCACCCAGCGAUGCCAAUCCCGGUGCCCGGCUCAACCCCAUCCUCUCUCCCCGUAGGGUCCUCCCGCAGCCCCCUGAUCCCCGUGGUCGUGACCUUGGCCAUGGUCACCGUACUGGCCGUUGUCGCCGUCUUCUGGUGGCUUUAUCGCACCCAAGGCUGGAAGCCGAUGCCUAGCUAGCCCAGCUAGUCCUGCCUUGCUGAGCCGUACGUGGGAGCAAAGAGACAAUUUCCUCCACGUCCCUGUGUAUUUUUUUCCCACCUUUUCCCGCUUUGCUGGCUCCGAUCUCCGGCGAGGGAGGUGAAUUGGAAGGGAGGGUGAGGCGCCGGCUCUGGGCAUCGCUCCCGGCUCCUGGCACCGCGUUGUCUCCGAGGGGAAAAUCCUGGGACAGGUCUGGGCAUGGCCCGAGUGGAGCCGUUUCCUGGCUCUCACGUGGCUGAGCGUUAAUGAGCCGCCCUCGUUAGUGGGAGGGCAGAGGGACACGUGGGGCACCCGUUGUGAUCCUGCCAGCC